UACGAAGGGUGCAAACGUUGCUCGGAAUUAUUGGGCGUAAAGAGCUCGUAGGCGGUUUGUCGCGUCGGGAGUGAAAUCCACUGGCUUAACUGGUGGCUUGCUUUCGAUACGGGCAGACUGGAGGUAUGCAGGGGAGAACGGAAUUCCCAGUGUAGCGGUGAAAUGCGUAGAUAUUGGGAGGAACACCAGUGGCGAAGGCGGCUCACUGGACCGGAACUGACGCUGAGGCGCGAAAGCGUGGGGAGCAAACAGG
rnacentral:rRNA from 1 species